rnacentral:rRNA from 1 species
UACGUAGGGCGCAAGCGUUAUCCGGAAUUAUUGGGCGUAAAGAGCUCGUAGGCGGUUUGUCGCGUCUGCCGUGAAAGUCCGGGGCUCAACUCCGGAUCUGCGGUGGGUACGGGCAGACUAGAGUGAUGUAGGGGAGACUGGAAUUCCUGGUGUAGCGGUGAAAUGCGCAGAUAUCAGGAAGAACACCAAUGGCGAAGGCAGCUCUCUGGGACGGUACUGACGCUGAGGUGCGAAAGCGUGGGGAGCAAACAGG